GACGAACGCUGGCGGCGUGCUUAACACAUGCAAGUCGAACGGAAAGGCCCUGCUUUUGUGGGGUGCUCGAGUGGCGAACGGGUGAGUAACACGUGAGUAACCUGCCCUUGACUUUGGGAUAACUUCAGGAAACUGGGGCUAAUACCGGAUAGGAGCUCCUGCUGCAUGGUGGGGGUUGGAAAGUUUCGGCGGUUGGGGAUGGACUCGCGGCUUAUCAGCUUGUUGGUGGGGUAGUGGCUUACCAAGGCUUUGACGGGUAGCCGGCCUGAGAGGGUGACCGGCCACAUGGGGACUGAGAUACGGCCCAGACUCCUACGGGAGGCAGCAGUGGGGAAUAUUGCACAAUGGGCGGAAGCCUGAUGCAGCAACGCCGCGUGCGGGAUGACGGCCUUCGGGUUGUAAACCGCUUUCGCCUGUGACGAAGCGUGAGGGACGGUAAUGGGUAAAGAAGCACCGGCUAACUACGU
rnacentral:rRNA from 1 species